rnacentral:rRNA from 1 species
CGUGGAUAAUCUACCCGACAAUCCGGGAUAACAGUUCGAAAGGGCUGCUAAUACCUGAUAAGCCCACGUCGUCUUCGGAUGAUGAGGGAAAAGGUGGGGACCUUCGGGCCUGCCGUUGUCGGAUGAGUCCGCGUCCCAUUAGCUAGUUGGUAGGGUAAUGGCCUACCAAGGCUACGAUGGGUAGCUGGUCUGAGAGGAUGAUCAGCCACACUGGAACUGAGACACGGUCCAG